UAAACGAUGGUUACUAGCUGCUCGGGACAAUUGAGUUCUGAGUGGCUAAGCGAAAGUGAUAAGUAACCCACCUGGGGAGUACGUUCGCAAGAAUGAAACUCAAAGGAAUUGACGGGGGCCCGCACAAGCGGUGGAGCAUGUGGUUUAAUUCGAUGAUACGCGAGGAACCUUACCAGGGCUUAAAUGCAGUUUGACAGGGGUGGAAACACCUUUUUCUUCGGACAAAUUGCAAGGUGCUGCAUGGUUGUCGUCAGCUCGUGCCGUGAGGUGUCAGGUUAAGUCCUAUAACGAGCGCAACCCCUUUGGUUAGUUACCAGCAUGUAAAGAUGGGGACUCUAGCCAUACUGCCAGUGUAAACUGUGAGGAAGGUGGGGAUGACGUCAAAUCAUCACGGCCCUUACGUCCUGGGCUACACACGUGCUACAAUGGUAGGGACAGAGAGCAGCCACUGGGCGACCAGGAGCGAAUCUACAAACCCUAUCACAGUUCGGAUCGCAGUCUGCAACUCGACUGCGUGAAGCUGGAAUCGCUAGUAAUCGCAAAUCAGAAUGUUGCGGUGAAUACGUUCCCGGGCCUUGUACACACCGCCCGUCACACCAUGGGAGUGGGUUGCAAAAGAAGUAGGUAGCUUAACCUUCGGGAGGGCGCUUACCACUUUGUGAUUCAUGACUGGGGUGAAGUCGUAACAAGGUACCCGUAA
rnacentral:rRNA from 1 species